rnacentral:rRNA from 1 species
UACGGGGGGGGCAAGCGUUGUUCGGAAUUACUGGGCGUAAAGGGCUCGUAGGCGGCCAACUAAGUCGGAUGUGAAAUCCCCAGGCUUAACCUGGGAACUGCAUCCGAUACUGGAUGGCUUGAAUCCGGGAGAGGGAUGCGGAAUUCCAGGUGUAGCGGUGAAAUGCGUAGAUAUCUGGAGGAACACCGGUGGCGAAGGCGGCAUCCUGGACCGAUACUGACGCUGAGGAGCGAAAGCGUGGGGAGCAAACAGG